CCUGUCAGUAUUAGGUUUUUACUAAUUUUAAGUUUCCUUGCAAACUAAAUCAUUAAUUUCCAUCUUCUGUCCAUUUUAUGUGUUGAUGUUAUGUUAAAGCAUUUAUAUAACACAGUCCAUUUUACCCAGUAAUUCACUUUAAUGAUAUUAUCCUGGAGUGUUGAUGUUGGAAGUACUGCUAGGUUGCAUUUUUCUAGUUCAUCCCAUUUGUGUUCUUUCCAUAUUGAAGAUGGCUCAGUAGGGAACUGGAUAGGCUUUAUUUAGUUGGCUUUUACUGGAUGAAUAAUAUACACUCCUAAAAGAAUUUAUUGCAUAUCACUUUUUAUUUCCCCUUUGGAAUAGUUUGGAGGAAUGGUAUAUCUCAGAGAUAAAAUCAUUUAGAAAUAAAACUGGCCUGGGUUAAGUAUAGUGUUUUGGAUGUCUUGAACCAAGAAAGGAUAUUUCUGUUCAAGCUGUAGAAUUAAGAAUUCUAUUGUAAAUAGUGGAAUUACAUUACCCCUUUCAUUACAUACCUAGAGAAAUCUGGCUUUUGGCAUCUUGACUUAUAUCCUUUUUCUUCAUCCUAAAUAAGGAUGAAGAAAGAAAUAAGGAAGAAGAGCCUUGGCUCUUCAAUCCUAAAUUGAUGUUUUCCUCUUUAAUGGCUUUUCUGUUACUGCGUGUCAAAUCAAUUGACAAGGACUGAUCCUAAAAAGAAACCCCAUCCACACUCAUUAAUAGUCACUCCCCAUUCCCCCAGCAACCACUUACCUACUUUGUCUCUCUGAAUUUGCAUAUUCUGGGUAUUUCAUAUGAAUGGAGUACUAUAAUUAUGCAGUCUUUUGUGACUGGCUUCUUUCGCUUAGCAUGUUUUCAAGAUUCUUCCAUGUUGUAGCAUGUACCACUACUAAAUGCAUUUUUAUGACUAAUAUUCCCUUUUGUUAUUGUACCACAUUUUACUUCUCUGUUCAUCAGCCGAUACACAUUUGGAUGGUUUCCACUUUUUGAUUUCUGUGAAUAAUGCUGCUAUAAACAUUUGUGUACAAGUU